rnacentral:rRNA from 1 species
UCCUUUUUGCGUCACGUGGCGACGGAGUACGGUGGACGUUUUAUUUUUUUGCGGAGCACCGUGGUCGUGUUUUGGGCAUGGUAAAGUGUGGUUUUGCAUGGGGAGUUCGGGUGUAGGCACGAUAAUGAGCUGGAGGUGGUGGCAUAAGGGGAAACGGCGUGCAGAACAUGACGGAUGCGAUCAUACCAGCACUAAAGCACCGGAUCCCAUCAGAACUCCGAAGUUAAGCGUGCUUGGGCGAUAGUAGUACUAGGAUGGGUGACCUCCUGGGAAGUCCUCGUGCUGCAUCCC